rnacentral:lncRNA from 1 species
ACUGUUAGUAUCGGAAGGAAUCUCAAAAUGAUCAGAACCUCGUGAGCCUCCUGUCCCUCGAGAGCAUCACCACACAGUCUCACUUUCUUUGCUAAGGAGUCAUCAACCUUACAAUUUGUAUAUUACAAGCCAGCUGAACAAAUAAAAGUAAAUCAAAACAGCAACCAAUAGAGCAAAAGGCAAAAAAGAACAAGAAUAAGAAUAAUACCUUCGAAGCUAUGAAGAUCGACCCAAAAAGCCGAUGAAGCGUGAAUCUCAAAGCACUAAGCAAAAUAGCGCACAAUCUCUUAGCAAAAUGCGAGGGUAGCCUCGAGCGACCCAUCCCCCUGCCUUUUAUAGGGAAGCUAACGGGUGCGAACGGAUGCCUCGAACCUUGAACCGAAGUCGAUGCAAUAACCA